CAGUCGCCGCGGUAAAACGUAGGGUGCAAGCGUUGUCCGGAAUUAUUGGGCGUAAAGAGCUCGUAGGCGGUUUGUCGCGUCUGCUGUGAAAUCCCGAGGCUCAACCUCGGGCUUGCAGUGGGUACGGGCAGACUAGAGUGCGGUAGGGGAGAUUGGAAUUCCUGGUGUAGCGGUGGAAUGCGCAGAUAUCAGGAGGAACACCGAUGGCGAAGGCAGAUCUCUGGGCCGUAACUGACGCUGAGGAGCGAAAGCGUGGGGAGCGAACAGGAUUAGAGACCCCUGUAGUCCCUGUCUCUUAUAC
rnacentral:rRNA from 1 species